rnacentral:rRNA from 1 species
GACGAACGCUGGCGGCGUGCUUAACACAUGCAAGUCGAACGAUGAAGCCGGAGCUUGCUCUGGUGAAUUAGUGGCGAACGGGUGAGUAACACGUGAGUAACCUGCCCUUGACUCUGGGAUAACUGCUAGAAAUGGUAGAUAAUACCGGAUACGACCCUCGGAGGCAUCUCCAGGGGGUGGAAAGAAUUUCGGUCAAGGAUGGACUCGCGGCCUAUCAGCUAGAGGGUGAGGGAACGGCUCACCAAGGCGACGACGGGUAGCCGGCCUGAGAGGGUGACCGGCCACACUGGGACUGAGAAACGGCCCAGACUCCUACGGGAGGCAGCAGUGGAGAAUAUUGCACAAAGGGCGCAAGCCUGAUGCAGCAACGCCGCUUGAGGGAUGACGGCCUUCGGGUUGUAAACCUCUUUUAGUAGGGAAGAAGCGAAAGUGACGGUACCUGCAGAAAAAGCACCGGCUAACUACGUGCCAGCCGCCGCAGUAA